UAUUGGUCCUUUCUCUUGUUUAUUUGAUAAUUAAAAUUGAUACUUAAGAACCGUCAACAAAUACCCCCAUACUUAGGCUUUUACUCGUCCUCGAGAAAAGGAUGGUUAAGAUCAAUAUCUGGGGUAAACAUUUAAAACAUUCUCUUUAUAAUUGCAGGGUGUUAAAAUUCCACUGUGUACCAUAGUCAGGGAUGUAUAUGAUUAAGAGUAAAGAUCCUUUCUUCUCAAUCCUGUCACUUGGAGUUUUUUGUAUAUUUUUGAAAGAAAGUUAGCAUACCUUUUGAUCCUCAUAGGUUCUCUCAGAUCACUCAUUAUCUUUUGUAUAUAUAUCUCACUGAGGUUGUUUUAUUUUGCAAAAAUUCUCAAGCAUACUUACUUUGGAUUUAUUGCCUGAUCAAAACGGGAUCCGAGGAGGGGAAUAUCAUACUCUUAGAUCAAAGACUUUAGAAAUUAAAAACUUUGUCAACUCUUGCUGGCAUAUUGCUUAUUAGAGGGACCAUGGGCUAUCAUUUUUUUCUCUCUUUUUUUUAAGUGGAUACCGAGGUACCCCUAAUUCUACUGCCGGACACUUGUCCAUUUUUUCUGCGAGGUUGUCGAGCACUUGCUCCUUUUUAUUUCCUCGAAAUAUCUCUAUUUUUGCAUAGCCCAUGCCUCUAAUGCAAUAAUACUUCGGAAGAGUGAAUCUUACUGAAAUAAUGUCUUGAUCUUGGGAGCAUGAUAAAUCUCUCAACAAGGGUCUAACUCAUUUUGAACAAACUCAAUACGGAGUAGAUAGCUUUAUAAUCAUCAUUAAUAUUUUUAUUUUUAUCAGGCAUAUAAAACACUGAGGAUGGUAGCUAGAAAUUUGAAUAUUUUGAAAUAAAUUCUCCAAGCAACCAUGAUAUCAAGAAUAAGAAACUCAUACUCUACCAUCACAUAUUCCAUAUUGACUUAAGUAACACAGGUUUUUUUUUAAAUGAUUUUUAUACUAAUUGCAAGUUUUCAGGAAAUAUCACAGAUUGAGAUUAAUCAUGAUUAGAAAUAUUUUAAUCUUUUUAUUUUAUCAUGUCGGAAACAGUAAUCUGCAUAAUCCAAAAUAAAUAUAUGUGUAAAGUAAAGUGUGCAGAGUGUGUACCUGAAUGGUGGAGUGGUGUAGUCGGAGUGUGGUUGGCAUGUCGAGGGAUCUCCCCCAUACUUGUUUUCUGCUUUCUUGCACAAAAAUAAAGUAGAGACACACAAGACAUAAUAAUAAUAGUAAUACUCUUUAUUGAUCUUGAGGCAUUUAGUACAAAAGACUGAUAACAAACUGAUAGCAAACUGAUAAUAAUAGUAAACUGAUGAUAAUAGUAAACCUAAACCGAAUUUAAAGAUAAAUGACUAAGAUGCAUUGCCUCAAGGUCUAAUCUAGAUAACUUAACGGCGCUCUAAUUCCUUGAUCUUCAUGUUGGCACUGGCAAGAUCCUGCCUAAGGCCUAAUAUAACGGUGUUGUGGUUAGAGAGCUGCCUAGUGAGGGAAUUAAUCGAGGACUGGAGGUCUAUGAUAACUCUAUCUAGCCUGCGAACUUCCUCAUCAAUAUCCAUUAUAGUCUUGCGACGCUUGGGAGGUGUCUCAAAAGCAUUGAGAGAGUGCUUCGGGGCUGCCUUUGGAGGGAUGAAACGGACUUUGGCUGCUCUAAUCCCUUCAAAGUAAGGCCUUUCCUCCUCCGUAGUGUAGCGAACACUGCUGAUCUCACCGCUUCGGUUGGUCUUGACUCCAACGACCCUCUCAUUGGGUCUAGGUGGAAGGACUCUUGUGCCGAUUGGCACCUUGAUAGUGGUCUUCGUCUUGGAUGAUGGUCCUUUGAGAAGUAGGGUUUGUGGUGGUGCGGUGAGAACUGGUUGAGCAUGGUAAGAUUGGGCGGAGCUGCGUUG
rnacentral:lncRNA from 1 species